AAGUGGAUAGUGAAACCUGGUGGCUCAACCAUACAGACUAUUAUCCAAACUGUUAAGCUCGAGAAUGGUAGAGGUGGCUGGAAUUUCUAGUGUAGGAGUGAAAUCCGUAGAUAUUAGAAGGAACACCAAUGGCGUAGGCAGGCCACUGGACCAUUUCCGACGCUAAGGCACGAAAGCGUGGGGAGCGAACCGGAUUAGAUACCCGGGUAGUCCACGCCGUAAACGAUGGAUGCUA
rnacentral:rRNA from 1 species